rnacentral:rRNA from 1 species
AUUGAACGCUGGCGGCAGGCUUAACACAUGCAAGUCGAGCGAGCGGCGGACGGGUGAGUAAUGUCUGGGAAACUGCCUGAUGGAGGGGGAUAACUACUGGAAACGGUAGCUAAUACUGCAUACCAUCAGAUGUGCCAAGAUGGGAUUAGCUAGUAGGUGGGGUAAUGGCUCACCUAGGCGACGAUCCCUAGCUGGUCUGAGAGGAGGACCAGCAACGCAGGAACGGAGACACGGUCCAGACUCCGACGGGACGCAGCAGUGGGGAAUAUUACACAAGGGGCGCAAGACGGAUGCAGCCAUGCCGCGUGUGGGAAGAAGGCCUUCGGAUUGUAAAGCAAGUUCAGCGAGGUGGCGGUACUCGCAGAAGAAGCACCGGCUAACUCCGUGCCAGCAGCCGCGGUAAUUC